AAACAGAAGGCUUAUAAAAAGAGUGAACGAGGGCUUAAGAAUUCCUCCAGCUUUUUACACGCUCAAGUGUGUUUGAAAGGUGUUACCAGAUCAUCAGGAACACAAAAGAAAACGUUUCAGCGAAGAUAAUGGCCAUAACAUAAAAAAAAAAGACUCUACAACAAACAAAAUGACUAUUAAACGCUGCGGGGCACACAUUUGAGACCCAGAGAAAAGCCCUUUCGAACUUGCACAGACUGCCUGUC